rnacentral:rRNA from 1 species
AGGUAGAGCACUGAAUAUCCUAGGGGGCACUAGCUACCGAAGAUUUAUCAAACCCGAAUGCCGUUAUUUUACACUUGGGAGUCAGACUGUGGGUAAUAAGAUUCAUAGUCGAGAGGGCAACAGCCCAGAUCGUCAGCUAAGGUCCCCAAAUUAAGUAACAAAGAUGUGGGAUUGCAUAGACACCAGGAUGUUGGCUUAGAAGCAGCCACUCAUUUAAAGAGUGCGUAAUAGCUCACUGGUCGAGUGAUCCUGCGCUGAAGAUUACCGGGCUAAAACUUACUACCGAAGCUACGAUAUCAUUUAUGAUAGGUAGGGAGCUUCCAUGCAGGCUGAAGCAUGACCGUAAGGACGUGUGGACAGUAUAGGAGUGAGAAUGUUGGCAUGAGUAGCGAGACGUGGGUGAGAAUCCCACGGGCCGUAAACCCAAGGUUUCCAGGGAAGGUUCGUCCGCCCUGGGUUAGUCGGGACCCAAGCCGAGGCCGAAAGGCGUAGGUGAUGGACAACAGGUUGAGAUUCCCGUACCACCGAUAAUCGUUUGAGAGAUGGAAUGACACAGUAGGAUAAGCUAACCACACUGUUGGUUACGCGUGGCUAACUAAUAAGCCAAGGCAGGCAAAUCCGCCAUGAUAAUGCUGGGGUACGAUGGGGAGCGAAAUUAAGUAGCGAAGUAGCUGAUUUCACACCGUCGAGAAAAGUUUCUAUCGAGAUUAAAGGUGCCCGUACCGCAAACCGACACAGGUGGGUGAGGAGAGUAUCCUAAGGCCAGCGAGAGAACUGUUGUUAAGGAACUCGGCAAAAUGACCCCGUAACUUAGGGAGAAGGGGUGCCACGUUAGGGUUACCGCCCGUGGUGGCCGCAGAGAAUAGGCCCAAGCGACCGUUUACCAAAAACACAGGUUUCGCUAAGUCGCAAGACGAUGUAUAGGAGCUGACGCCUGCCCGGUGCUGGCGGUUAAGGGGAUCUAGUGAUUUAUCCGAAGCAGUGAACUUAAGCCCUAGUAACGGCGGCCGUAACUAUAACGGUCCUAAGGUAACGAAAUUCCUUUCGGGUAAGUUCCGACCCGCACGAAAGGCGUAACGAUUUGGGCACCGUCUCAACAACAGACUCGGUGAAAUUGUAAUCCCGGUGAAGAUGCCGGGUACCUGCGACAGGACGGAAAGACCCCAUGGAGCUUUACUGUAGCUUGACAUUGAAUUUUGGUGCCACACGUACAGGAUAGGUGGGAGGCUAUGAAAUCGGGACGCCAGUCUCGGUGGAGCCAUCCCGGGAUCCCACCCCUUGUAGUACUGAGAUUCUAACCAGAUACCUUGAAUCAGGUAUUGGGACACUGUCAGGUGGCAGUUUGAUUGGGGUGGUCGCCUCCCAAAGAGCAAUGGAGGCGCUCAAAGGUUCUCUCAGCACGGUCGGAAAUCGUGCGUAGAGUGUAAAGGCAGAAGAGAGCUUGAUUGCAAGACAUACAGGUCGAGUAAGGACGAAAGUCCGACUUAGUGAUCCGGUGGUUCUGCAUGGAAGGCCAUCGCUCAACGGAUAAAGCGACCCUGGGGAUGACAGGCUUAUCUCUCCUGGAGUCCACAUCGACGGGGAGGUCCUGCACCUCGAUGCCGGCUCAUCACAUCCUGGGGCUGUAGUAGGUCCUGCAAGGGUUGGGCUGUUCGCCAUUCAGUGGUAUGGAGCUGGGUUCAGAACGUCGUGUGACAGUUCGGUCCCUAUCCGUCGCAGGCGUAGGAAAUUUGCGGGAGACCUGUCCUUAGUACGAGAGGACCGGGAUGGACGUACCUCUGGUGUACCAGUUGUUCUGCCAAGGGCAUGCUGGGUAGCUAUGUACGGAAUGGAUAAGCGCUGAAAGCAUCUAAGCGCGAAGCCAACUUCAAGAUAAGAUUUCCCACCGUAAGGGUAAGAUCCCAGGAAGACUACCUGGUUGAUAGGUCGGAGGUGCAAGAAUGUAUGUAGCUUACCGAUACUAAUAGAUCGAGGACUUGGACUA